rnacentral:rRNA from 1 species
GACGAACGCUGGCGGCGUGCUUAACACAUGCAAGUCGAACGGAAAGGCCUUUUCGGAGGUACUCGAGUGGCGAACGGGUGAGUAACACGUGGGUGAGCUGCCCUGCACUCUGGGAUAAGCCUGGGAAACUGGGUCUGAUACCGGAUAGGACCGCACUUUAGUGUGUGUGGUGGCAAGUGUUUUCGGUGUUGGGUGAGCCCGCUGCCUAUCAGCUUGUUGGUGGGGUAAUGGCCUGCCAAGGCGGCGACGGGUAGGCGGACAGGGGGGUUGGGCGGCCACACUGGGACCUACGUGAGGCCCCAGUACCUACGCGGGGGCAAAGGGGGGAAUAUUGGCCGAGCGGCGCCACGUGGGUGAGGCGGGGCCGCGGAGGGGAUGACGGCCUUCGGGUUGUAAACUCAUUUCGCCAGGGACGAAGCGUUUUGUGACGGUACCUGGAGAAGAAGCACCGGCUAACUACGUG